rnacentral:misc_RNA from 1 species
UUUCCGUAGGUGAACCUGCGGAAGGAUCAUUAUCGUACAACAUGUCAGCGGCAUGCAAGGUCUGUCUCUGACCCAAAAUUCGUGCACCCCCGAGCCUGUCCUCUUGCACAAUAAUCCAUCUCACCCUUUGUGCAUCACCCCGUCCGCACCCUUCCGGAUCCUCUCGGAGUUAGGGUCGCGUUUUCACACAAACACCCCUUUUAAAAAUCUAUAAUGCCCCCAUUUAUUCAAUCCAUACAACUAUCAACAACGGAUCUGUUGGCUCCUGCAUCGAUGAAA